rnacentral:lncRNA from 1 species
AUGUAUUCAGCAAACUGUUCAUUCUUACAGUGUUACAGAAAUUUAAACAGUCUUAAGUAUGGAAAACUUAUGAACACCCCUUUGAAAGCAUACACCUUGCCCCAGUUUCUGCUGCAACCAAAGGAGACUCCAACUCUCCAAUUCCAAUUUUGCAGGCACUUCGCAGAAUUGCUUUUUUCCACGAUAAUGAGCAAGAACGGGGUCCUGGAGCCCUCUGGUGGAUGUCUUGCAGAAGACAGGCAGCUGAAAGCGCCCUACUGCCACGAAGGACUUUCUGUCUCUAGGAUGUUGCUUCUCAGCCACGUGCCAAGGUAGUGGACACUUUGCCGGGCCAGGGACAAACUGGUUUAAAUAUCAUUUAUUGAAAGCUCAUUGGUUUGCCAUGUGUAUUUUAUAUAAAAUAUUGACAGGACCUGUUCUGCUGCUGCUUUUAUAUGUGAAAGUAAUUUUUGUGUUUUUUUUUUUUUUUUUUUUUUUAGCAGCUAACUCAGCCAGAACCCAAAUAUGAAAGCUUUCCCUAAUUUAAAGGAAUUUUAAGAACUGGAAAAUUUUAAUACUUAUCUAGCUGCAUUUGAAUGUGUCUCUGAAUUUGCAUAAUAAAUGCCUGAUCUUUGCUGUUGGCA